GACGAACGCUGGCGGCGUGCUUAACACAUGCAAGUCGAACGGAAAGGCCCUGCCUUUGUGGGGUGCUCGAGUGGCGAACGGGUGAGUAACACGUGAGUAAUCUGCCCUGGACUUUGGGAUAACUUCAGGAAACUGGGGCUAAUACCGGAUAGGAGCUCCUGCUGCAUGGUGGGGGUUGGAAAGUUUCGGCGGUUGGGGAUGGACUCGCGGAUUAUCAGCUUGUUGGUGGGGUAGUGGCUUACCAAGGCUUUGACGGGUAGCCGGCCUGAGAGGGGGACCGGCCACAUUGGGACUGGGGUACGGCCCAGACUCCUACGGGAGGCAGCAGUGGGGAAUAUUGCACAAUGGGCGGAAGCCUGAUGCAGCAACGCCGCGUGCGGGAUGACGGCCUUCGGGUUGUAAACCGCUUUCGCCUGUGACGAAGCGUGAGUGACGGUAAUGUGUAAAGAAGCACCGGCUAACUACGUG
rnacentral:rRNA from 1 species